CCUACGGGAGGCAGCAGUGAGGAAUAUUGGUCAAUGGGCGCUAGCCUGAACCAGCCAAGCAGCGUGAAGGAUGACUGCCCUCUGGGUUGUAAACUUCUUUUAUAUGGGAAUAAAGUGCGGUAUGUAUACUGCUUUGCAUGUACCUUAUGAAUAAGGAUCGGCUAACUCCGAGCCAGACGCCGCGGUAAUACGGAGGAUCCGAGCGUUAUCCGGAGUUAGUGGGUUUAAAGGGAGUGUAGGCGGGUUGGUAAGUCAGUUGUGAAAGUUUGCGGAUCAACCGUAGAAUUGCAGUUGAUACUGGCAUCCUUGAGUACUGUAGAGGUAGGCGGAAUUCGUGGUGUAGCGGUGAAAUGCUUAGAUAUCACGAAGAACUCCGAUGGCGAAGGCAGUCUGCUGGACUGUAACUGACGCUGAUGCUCGAAAGUGUGGGUAUCAAACAGGAUUAGAUACCCUUGUAGUC
rnacentral:rRNA from 1 species